UCAGUUAUGUGAUGUGUUUGUGUCACCAUAAAAAGCUGAUAUUCAGUCGUGUUUUUUGAUAUUUUUGUUAUUUCAUAAUCGAGUACCUUUUUAAAGGUCUAAUGGCUCCGUUCAGCUGUUGUGUGCAGACGGUGGAAAAAUUCGACAAGUAAACAUUUAUUUA